rnacentral:rRNA from 1 species
GAUGAACGCUGGCGGCGUGCCUAAUACAUGCAAGUCGAGCGAAUGGAUUAAGAGCUUGCUCUUAUGAAGUUAGCGGCGGACGGGUGAGUAACACGUGGGUAACCUGCCCAUAAGACUGGGAUAAAUCCGGGAAACCGGGGCUAAUACCGGAUAACAUUUUGAACCGCAUGGUUCGAAAUUGAAAGGCGGCUUCGGCUGUCACUUAUGGCUGGACCCGCGUCGCAUUAGCUAGUUGGUGAGGUAACGGCUCACCAAGGCAACGAUGCGUAGCCGACCUGCGAGGGUGAUCGGCCACACUGGGACUGAGACACGGCCCAGACUCCUACGGGAGGCAGCAGUAGGGAAUCUUCCGCAAUGGACGAAAGUCUGACGGAGCAACGCCGCGUGAGAGAUGAAGGCUUUCGGGUCGUAAAACUCUGUUGUUAGGGAAGAACAAGUGCUAGUUGAAUAAGCUGGCACCUUGACGGUACCUAACCAGAAAGCCACGGCUAACUACGUGCCAGCCGCCGCAGUAA